UGACCGCUGGCGGCGUGCCUACUACAUGCAAGUCGAGCGAACAGACGAGGAGCUUGCUCCUCUGACGUUAGCGGCGGACGGGUGAGUAACACGUGGAUAACCUACCUAUAAGACUGGGAUAACUUCGGGAAACCGGAGCUAAUACCGGAUAAUAUAUUGAACCGCAUGGUUCAAUAGUGAAAGACGGUUUUGCUGUCUCUUAUAGAUGGAUCCGCGCCGCAUUAGCUAGUUGGUAAGGUAACGGCUUACCAAGGCAACGAUGCGUAGCCGACCUGAGAGGGUGAUCGGCCACACUGGAACUGAGACACGGUCCAGACUCCUACGGGAGGCAGCAGUAGGGAAUCUUCCGCAAUGGGCGAAAGCCUGACGGAGCAACGCCGCGUGAGUGAUGAAGGUCUUCGGAUCGUAAAACUCUGUUAUUAGGGAAGAACAAAUGUGUAAGUAACUAUGCACGUCUUGACGGUACCUAAUCAGAAAGCCACGGCUAACUACGUG
rnacentral:rRNA from 1 species